AACGAACGCUGGCGGCAUGCCUAACACAUGCAAGUCGAACGAAGCCUUCGGGCUUAGUGGCGCACGGGUGCGUAACGCGUGGGAAUCUGCCCUUGGGUUCGGAAUAACAGUUAGAAAUGACUGCUAAUACCGAAUGAUGUCUUCGGACCAAGGAUUUAUCGCCCAAGGAUGAGCCCGCGUCGGAUUAGCUAGUUGGUGAGGUAAAGGCUCACCAAGGCGACGAUCCGUAGCUGGUCUGAGAGGAUGAUCAGCCACACUGGGACUGAGACACGGCCCAGACUCCUACGGGAGGCAGCAGUGGGGAAUAUUGGACAAUGGGCGAAAGCCUGAUCCAGCAAUGCCGCGUGAGUGAUGAAGGCCUUAGGGUUGUAAAGCUCUUUUACCCGGGAUGAUAAUGACAGUACCGGGAGAAUAAGCCCCGGCUAACUCCGUGCCAGCAGCCGCGGUAAU
rnacentral:rRNA from 1 species